AGUCCUAUAGCUCAGCUGGUUAGAGCGCUGGUCUGAUGUACGAGAAGUCACGGGUUCAAGCCCCGUCGGGACUA
rnacentral:tRNA from 1 species